CAAAAUGUAUUUUUUUAGUGAUUUUUAUGUUAUUUUAUAUGAUUAAUUUCCAGAAACAAUUCCAUAGUAACGUCUCUGCCACCAGUCGGUGAGUGUAACUUGUUGACGGUCCCUAAAACAGGUAGCAGCGAGAACGUAAAUGACGUUGUUGCACAGACAUCGAUGGCGCCAACAUGUGUUUGUGAUUUUUCGCGAUACGGCGUCCUAAACCGUCCUCAACAUACUAAGCCCUAUGGAAGGGGAGAUUUGGAGGUACCUGGUCAGGUCUUGGUCAGCCUUCAAAUCCCAGAUGUGGAGACUGCAGGGAUACCUCACAGAGAAGACACUAAAGAGUCAUCUCUCAUUCAUCGAGUGGACUCAUUGGUUUGCGAAUGACCACAAAGAUGCUCCCAUAGGCAGAUUGCUGCAUGGCAUUCACCGCUUAUUCAAAUUGAAGAGGUUGAAGCAGUCUUCCUUGUGGUCACUUGCCAUAACAAUGUCAUGUGUUUUAUGAAAACACCAUCAGUAACAUUUAAAUUUAGUUGAUGUGGACGGCUCUUUUUUUUGUCAGAUUUCUUCAGUGUUCAGUGCCGGUUUGUGAGAUAUGCAUUGUUUGAAAGAUAAGCCUUUGAUUUUGUUUAAUUCUAAUAUGCCUUUCAUCAACAGUGGUUUGGGGUUUUAUAACAACAAUUAAAGUGCUUAACUACUGGUGAA